UGGUAGUCCGCCUGCCUUCAUUUAUCCACAGACUGAACACCACAGCUGAAGCAGACUCCAUUCGUCUGAAUGACACAAAAUACAUAUAUUUGAAAACUACAGAGGAACGGAUACUUCAUUCCCUUCUAGCCUUUGUUUCUUCAGAAGACAAAAGAGAAAUGUGACUUUCAUAUUUCUGAAGUGAUUGCAGCUCGACAGAGAAAAACAUUUGUGCUCUCCUCAUGGCCCAUUCAGCAAAGACACCACCCACUAUAGUACUGCAUCCUAAAAAUACCAAGGAACCCAAGAUAAAUUCAAGAUAACCCAAGAUAACAUAACUUUCCAUCCAUGAGUCAAGUGAUCACAGCUUCUGCACUGAGUGUAUUUGACAAGCUGAAUUCAGACACUCAAUUUAAAACAGUGUCAGUUUGUCAAAUACCCCAAGUGCAGAGCUGAAACGCAGCUGAACAUUGUCCAGUGCUGGGCGAGGCUGACAAGCAUACAACUGACGAGACUCCAAUAUCUGCAUAUGUAUGUGUACACGUGCUUACAAGACCCAGAGUGAAUUAAGUGCACUUUGUGAACUGAAUAGCUGUUGGAAUGGUUAUUAUUAAGAUGUUACAGAGCCUUUCUGUACCCAACACAAAAUGUUUAUUUCAAAAUGGAUGUUACAUUCUUGUUAUAUUAAACUAAUGGGCAGCUUGUAAGGUA